ensembl:lncRNA
CAUCAGCAGUGGAGUGAGACCCUGGACAUGAUGGAGGGGCGAGCAAACACUAUCGGGAGGGGGGAGAGCUGUAUUUCUGUCUCAUACAGGAAGGAAAUACAGAAAAUGUCCCAUUGGGAAAACCAUAAACAAUCUAAUUGUGAACAAUGCUCAAAUUUUCAAUCAAGGGGGUCAAGUCGAGGGGUACGGUCAAAGCCGUUCUAAAUUGCUCUUGAGAAAUAUAAACACUGUAUAUCAUGUCGUGCUGUGAAGUGUUUCGAGUGGUUUAUUUUUCAGUACAGUCUAUUUAUCUCAGCAUGUGCAAUGCGUUUGUAAUUAGUAAGGAAAUGAAUUAUGAAUUAAAUUUCAUUAUGUUAUUAUAUUAUGUAGUUAGGUUUACUCUGUGCUCAUGUGAUUUUGAGACUCGUGUUUAGAUCCUCAUGUUGUGAAAACAAUUUACCAUGUGGGUGUAUGCAUUAUAAUCAUGACGACUGCUGUUCUUGGAAUGACUCGUCCACCAGAUCUCACAUGGACUCAACUGUGUAUCUAUCUGGACAAAGGGACUGUACACAAUAACUCCCACCACAUUGAGGGUGUGCCCCCCUGUGGUGAAAACAGAACUUUGCGAGUCGCGGGGCUCAACCUCCUGUGCCUACUGAGCUGAUAACAGUUUGAUAUAAUGAGCACUGGCUCAGUUCAGCAGGAACCGGAGUUAUGCCUUCUAAAAACAAUUUAAGAAAUUAAACUUCAACGUUAGGCUUCACUUAAUCAUGGCAAUCAAAAAACAGAAAGCAUUCAGCAAUCAAGGCAGAGAGAAGUUGGUUCACCCCAGUCAUCCACGAACUCGAGCCCAUGAAGGAAUACUGCUCCUGUCAUUUUCUCCUCUAAAUAGAUUACAGGAGCAGAGUUUUUCCAGAUGUAUUUUCUACUGGAGUAACUAGUUUUCUACAUCGAAACUUCUAUGUCUAUUCAAUGAGAGAGAAAACAAUUAUCUGUGUCAGAAAGGACCAACCAGUCUGAGCACAAGAUUGUUUUUUAACCCUUAUUUUACCAGGUUGCCUUUCCUUUGCCACACGGGCCGUUUGGAAAACUUUUGGCAAAAUUAGAGUAUACUCACUUCUCCAGGCACCAACCACUACACCACUGACCAGGACCAACCCUGCUUAGCUUCAAAGGCAAGCCAGCGGUGGGAUGUGGGGUGGUAUGCUGCUGGCAUUGUACAGUUCUAAAAUAAAAUCCUUUAUCAAACUUUGCCUGCCCUCUUUUUGCUUCUCAAAAUGUUGUGAUAAGGAUGGCUUCUAAAAUAAUAAUCAAUAAAAAUUAAAU